AAAAAGGGUAUGACAGACGAGUUUGAAGCUUCUUGACAAGUACUAUGGGGAUUCGAUAUAGACAUUUCUUUUGAAGUGAAUGAAAUCAAGAGAUCUGUAACUUCCACAAGCAGGGGAACAACCAUCUGAUUUUCUGAUCUCAAGCAAAGAAGAUAUUAGUUUCCUCUAAUGUUGUUGCUUUAAUGGCUAUAAAGAACGAACUGAAUGACCCUCACAAUGUAUUGGAGAACUGGGAUAUCAAUUCAGUUGAUCCUUGUGGCUAGAGGAUGGUUACCUGUUCUUCCGAUGGCUAUGUCUCAGUUCUGUAAGAUACUACUGCUUAAAUUGGACAAAAACCCAUGAUCAUCUAUCCUUUUAUCUCACUCGAUGAAUGUGCAGAGAUCAGUCGGCAAUUUGAGAUAGGCCCAGCUCAACCAGUUCAAAACCUGAACCAAAUCAACCCAAGCUCGUCCCGCUAAAAGCUCCAUGCUUUACUACUUGGAAGAAUGAAAAAAUUUGCACCAAGAGCUUGAAGGAUUCCUAACUAUGUUCAUGUUUACUUUGCAAGUCUCAUGAAGCAAGGUUGGAUCUGCCGCUUUCUUUGGACUUGUAUACGUUCUCAGCAUAUUCUUCAAAAGCUACAAGUAGUUUCAGAGAUCAUGACUGAUUCUGAUCAUGUGAUAUUGGGAGCUGGAAGUAGUUUGAUGGUUGAAAUUGACCACCGCCUGUUUGUGUAUCUAAAUUUCCAAAUACUUCCAUGCUGAAUUGUCUGGUGAAAUAUUGUGCUGUCCAUCCAUUCAGAGAACAAAUGGAAAGACAAACACUUUCCAGUGAAGCUCGAGUGUUAUUUGACUGUGGGAAGAUGGAUGAUCUGGUGCAGUGACUACAAUGAGGAGUCCUGCAUGACAUCUCUGAAUUCAGUGGGCCGUGACUGGGGCAUCACCGUACUCCAAUCAGGCGAUCUUAGCUGCCCAUCGAAUGCCUGCAAAACGGCUGGCCGGAGGAUCCUCCGGUGAAGAUAAAAGGGCAGGGACAUGGGGUUGUGGACUGGGGAGUCCUCUGCACGACACCUCUGAAACUGGUACCCGGUGGACCAUAGUGACAAAUCUCAUUACCAUUUACCGUACCUUGCUUUAAUGAUGUUCGCUAUCACUUCUACCUUUUGUAUAGAUGGACAAGGCUAAUCUCAAGAGGAAGGUUGCAGAAUUGGAUGAGAUAGUGAAGAAACUUUUUGGAUCACAAGACAUCCAAAAACGGGUUCACCAACCCACGAAGA